UACGAGAGGCCCAAACGUUAUUCGGAAUUACUGGGCUUAAAGAGUUCGUAGGCGGCGCAGCAAGUAGGGUGUGAAAGCCCUCGGCUUAACCGAGGAAUUGCGCUCUAAACUACUGUGCUUGAGGAACCUAGAGGUGAGCAGAACUGAUGGUGGAGCGGUGAAAUGCGUUGAUAUCAUCAGGAAUACCGGAGGCGAAGGCGGCUCACUGGGGGUUGUCUGACGCUGAGGAACGAAAGCCAGGGGAGCGAACGGG
rnacentral:rRNA from 1 species